CAGCAGCCGCGGUAAUACGGAGGGUGCAAGCGUUGUUCGGAUUUAUUGGGCGUAAAGCGAACGCAGGUGGUUUGGUAAGUCAGAGGUGAAAGACCACAGCUUAACUGUGGCACUGCCUUUGAUACUGCCUUUCUAGAGUGCAUGAGGGGGGAGCGGAAUUCCGAGUGUAGAGGUGAAAUUCGUAGAUAUUCGGAGGAACACCGGUGGCGAAGGCGGCUUCCUGGCAUGUAACUGACACUCAUGUUCGAAAGCGUGGGUAGCAAACAGGAUUAGAUACCCUGGUAGUUCACGCCCUAAACGAUGGGCACUAGGUGUGGGAGGUAUCGACCCCUUCCGUGCCGCAGCUAACGCAUUAAGUGCCCCGCCUGGGGAGUACGGCCGCAAGGUUGAAACUCAAAGGAAUUGACGG
rnacentral:rRNA from 1 species